AAUCAACGCUGGCGGCGUGCCUAACACAUGCAAGUCGAACGAGAAAGUGACUUCGGUCACUGGAAAGUGGCGUCCGGGUGAGUAACACGUGGGUAAUCUACCCUCGGGUGGGGAAUAACGGAUCGAAAGAUUCGCUAAUACCGCAUAAUGCAGCGGCACCUAAUGGUGAAUAGUUGUUAAAGCGGGGGAUCGCAAGACCUCGCGCCUGAAGAGGAGCCUGCGGCAGAUAGCUAGUUGGUGAGGUAAUGGCUCACCAAGGCUUCGAUCUGUAGCUGGUCUGAGAGGACGGCCAGCCACACUGGCACUGACACACGGGCCAGACUCCUACGGGAGGCAGCAGUGGGGAAUUUUGGGCAAUGGGCGAAAGCCUGACCCAGCAACGCCGCGUGAGGGAGGAAAU
rnacentral:rRNA from 1 species